rnacentral:rRNA from 1 species
UACGUAGGUGACAAGCGUUGUCCGGAUUUACUGGGCGUAAAGAGCGCGCAGGCGGUCGUUCAAGUCGAGUGUGAAAGCCCCCGGCUCAACUGGGGAGGGUCACUCGAUACUGAUCGACUCGAAGGCAGGAGAGGAGAGUGGAAUUCCCAGUGUAGAGGUGAAAUUCGUAGAUAUUGGGAAGAACACCGGUGGCGAAGGCGGCUCUCUGGACCGUAACUGACGCUGAGGCGCGAAAGCGUGGGGAGCAAACAGG